rnacentral:rRNA from 1 species
UGAGGAAUAUUGGUCAAUGGGGGCAACCCUGAACCAGCCAAGUCGCGUGAAGGACGACUGCCCUAUGGGUUGUAAACUUCUUUUGUAUAGGGAUAAACCUACCCUCGUGAGGGUAGCUGAAGGUACUAUACAAAUAAGCACCGGCUAACUCCGUGCCAGCAGCCGCGGUAAUACGGAGGGUGCAAGCGUUAUCCGGAUUUAUUGGGUUUAAAGGGUGCGCAGGCGGGAUGUUAAGUCGGCGGUGAAAUUUUGCAGCUCAACUGUAAAAGUGCCUUCGAUACUGGCUUCCUUGAGUGUGGAUGAAGUAGGCGGAAUUUGUGGUGUAGCGGUGAAAUGCUUAGAUAUCACGAGGAACUCCGAUUGCGCAGGCAGCUUACUAAGCCACAACUGACGCUCAUGCACGAAGGCGUGGGGAUCAAACA